rnacentral:precursor_RNA from 3 species
UGGAAACUUACUAAGUGAUCACUUUCAAAUUCAGAGAAACCCUGGAAUUAACAAAAAUGGGCAAUCCUGAGCCAAAUCCUGUUUUCCGAAAACAAACAAAGGUUCAGAAAAAAAGGAUAGGUGCAGAGACUCAAUGGAAGCUAUUCUAACAAAUGGAGUUAAAUGCGUUGGUAGAGGAAUCUUUACAUCGAAACUUCAGAAAGAAAAAGAAUGAAGUGAAGGAUAAACGUAUAUACAUACGUAUUGAAUACUAUAUCAAAUGAUUAAUGAUGACCCGAAUCCGUAUUUUUUCUAUAAAAAAUAGAAGAAUUGGUGUGAAUCGAUUCUACAUUGAAGAAAGAAUCGAAUAUUCAUUGAUCAAAUCAUUCACUCCAUAGUCUGAUAGAUCUUUUGAAGAACUGAUUAAUCGGACGAGAAUAAAGAUAGAGUCCCGUUCUACAUGUCAAUACCGGCAACAAUGAAAUUUAUAGUAAGAGGAAAAUCCGUCGACUUUAAAAAUCGUGAGGGUUCAAGUCCCUCUAUCCCCAAAAAGACUAUUUCACUCCCCAACUGUUUAUCCGACCCCCU